GGCGGGCGGGGCGGAUGAAGGCGCGGAACCGAACUGUUAGGGGAGAUCUGCUCUGUGUUCACAAGGCGGGGCCGAGGCGGAGUCUGGGCAGGAGCUUAGAUAAGCAGAAAGGUUUUCUAUCCCAUUGGAUAGACCCACCCAGAGCCUAGCUGUGGAAUUACCCCCUUGUAAGGAGUCAUUUUACUUCCCAACCCAGAUGCCAGAACACCAACUGAUCAUAACUUGCUAAGUGCCUGUCUGCCUCGGAAAGCCAUUCCAAGUUAAACUUGACUGGCAGCCUGUGA